rnacentral:rRNA from 1 species
UUGGAGGGCAAGUCUGGUGCCAGCAGCCGCGGUAAUUCCAGCUCCAAUAGCGUAUAUUAAAGUUGUUGCAGUUAAAAAGCUCGUAGUUGAAUUUCGGGAUUGGCGCAUCGGUCGUGCCUCACGGGGUAUGAACUGGUGCGGUCAAUUUCUCACCUUCUGGAGAACCGCGAUGUCCUUAAUUGGAUGCCGCGGGGAACCAGGACCUUUACUUUGAAAAAAUUAGAGUGUUUAAAGCAGGCAUUUUUGCUUGAAUACAUUAGCAUGGAAUAAUAAAAUAGGACGGCAUGGUUCUAUUUUGUUGGUUUCUAGGACCACCGUAAUGAUUAAUAGGGAUAGUUGGGGGCAUUAGUAUUCAAUUGUCAGAGGUGAAAUUCUUGGAUUUAUUGAAGACUAACUACUGCGAAAGCAUUUGCCAAGGAUGUUUUCAUUAAUCAAGAACGAAAGUUAGGGGAUCGAAGACGAUCAGAUACCGUCGUAGUCUUAACCGUAAACUAUGCCGACUAGGAAUCAGACGAUGUUAAUUUUUUAAAUGACUCGUUUGGCACCUUACGGGAAACCAAAGUGUUUGGGUUC